CGGAUUGGAGUCUGNAACCCGACUCCAUGAAGCUGGAUUCGCUAGUAAUCGCGCAUCAGCCACGGCGCGGUGAAUACGUUCCCGGGCCUUGUACACACCGCCCGUCAAGCCAUGGAAGCCGGGAGUGCCUGAAGUGCGUGAGCGCAAGCAGCGCCCUAAGGUAAAACCGGUGACUGGGGCUAAGUCGUAACAAGGUAGC
rnacentral:rRNA from 1 species